CACAGGAUGCGCCAUCGGUGACGGUGCGCGGGCUCGUCUGAUCAACUCGGGGCGAAGAGGGGAACGCUCACGCCAUCGCGGACGUCGCGCCAGCGGAGGUGCACCUUCAUGCCGAUCUGCACCUCCGACGGGCGCACGUCGACGAGGUUGCCGAUGAUGCGCACGCCGCCGGUGCCCGGGAGCUCGACGACCGCGGGGAUGUACGGCACCGAGUCGCUCACGUCGGGCAUCAACGGGUGCCACGCCACCGUGAAGCUGUACAGCGUCCCCGCACCCGACUGCUCCACCCACUCGACCACUUGCGUACGACACACGUAGCAGAACGCCGACGGCGGGAACCGGUAUGUCCCGCAGGUCGUGCAGCGCGGCACCACCAGCCGGUGCUCGGCUGCGGCCUCCCAGUACGGCGCCGUCCACACGUCGGGCGUGAGGUAGAUCAGCUCCUCGGGCGGCAGCUGCGCCGUCGGCUCGUCAGCAAUCGUCGCAUCGUCGGCCAUCUCACUCAUCGCAUCACGCGUCCUUCGUGAACAGCACGGAGCUGGUCGGGAUCGACGCCGGGCCGCCGGUGACGAGCGCGACCUCUGCGCUCUCGACCUGGUUCACCGCGCUCCCUCGUAUCUGCUCCACGCCUUCGCGCACGUGCGUCAUACCGAUGAUGUACGCCUCGGACAGGUUGCCGCCGUGCGUGUUCACCGGCAGCGAGCCGUCGGGCCAGC
rnacentral:misc_RNA from 1 species